ACUUUAUUUUAUACCCUACCCUCAUAUCCAGUCUGUCAGCAGCCUCCUAAUUCGGGAGUUGGGGCUAGGCUUGAGUGGUAGAAAGCUCAGAAGAAGCCUGCAAAAAAGAACACUUCUGAGACAAUGAAGAGAAUUAUUCUGUAUCGCAGACCUUUUUGAACAAUAGGUGUGUGGUGACCUUGGAAUGUAUUCUCGGAUAAUGUCUCGCCAUCAUUGGUAUAUGGUUAAUAUGUUGGUAGUUAUUCCUAAAGUUAGUAGUAAUGUUGAGUUAUAGUGAAAUCAUAUGGCUAGACCUUUAAGUUAUUAGGAGGGCUGAAAGGGCUCCUGUAAGUGGUCAUGGGCUAGGGUUGACUAUGUGAUAUGCAUGGGUUUGGUGGGUCAUUAGGUAUUGCCAUGUAGGUAUAGGCUUACUAGUAGGGUAAAAACAUAAGCUUGAAUUAGGGCUAGGGCAAACUCAAGGAUUGUUAGUAAAAUAAGAAUAAUAAAGGUAACUAGAGCAACAGAGGUGCUAAUGUUU